CAAUCUUUCUCCUCUGCCUUUGCUGGACUUUUUUCCUCUGGCUUGAGACCUCAGGCAGGGAGUAGAGUAGAGGAGUAGAGCCUGCUUUUCUUGUUGGAGAGGCUGUGAAUGGAGCAUGGUGGGCCCAGUGUUCCCUGCCACCCCAGAGAAUUCCUCCUCUACAGUGGAGCCCACCAGGUCCAAGCCAGGCUCGGUUCCCUUUACUUAAGGUCCCUGCCAUCUGCAGGGCCUGCUGCUAUUUCCCCAAUGUGUUUGCCAAGCCUCAAACUCUGAUUUGUACAAAGUAACCAGCCUCGGUUGCUUGUAAGCCUUCUAGGCAUUUCCAUUUGCAAAAUUCCCUGAUAUUGCGGUGACUGUAUAAUUUAUCAAACAGGACCUUUUGGAGAGAGAGGGGAGGUGAGUUCUAUAAUCUCCCUGGGAUAAUGCCCAUUAUAAACCAUGAACUGGUUCUGUUCUGGAUAAGCCAGUUUGUAGCCUCCCUACUGAUGACCUUCCAACAGACAGUCCCCCACAUUCCCUAGCCGGGUCGUCCGUCCACUAUGGUUAGGUGCAGUCCUUCCAUCUUGGGCCUGGGGGGAGGAUGGCCUCUGGGAAACAUUCACCACUGAGGACCAAGUAACCCCCCUGACUGUCCGUCAGAAGUAGCAAACAUUGUCUCCGCUGCCUCAGAGCUUCCUAGACAGGACUCCUGCCUCUGCCUUCUCUGCCUGUCUGAGGACCUGGGCAUGAGACAGUGAUGCUGAGAAGGACACCCAAGGCUCCUGGACCAGAGAAAUAUGGUCACAGCCAAGCAGAAUAGAUGGGUGCAUGCUCAGAGUGAAGAUGCGAAACAACACGGCUUCUGCAGCUCGGCUUCCUCUGGAUCGGGCAGAG
rnacentral:lncRNA from 1 species